UACAAACCUGCCACAAAUGGAAAGCAGGCCAGGAAGUCCAUGCAGAGCACGAUUAUUCCGAGGGCGGGGCCUGGUUUCCAUUGAGCAGAUACAUCAGUCUUGACUGCGGCAUCGUGGAGGUGACGGAGGGCUUACCUUUCCUGAAGAUCCAGCAUUCACUGUCGAAAGUACAAUGGCUUGCAGUUUGGAAGCAUCCCUGCUGUACCACGAAGUGAUCAUGUGCUCUCCCUUCACUUGGUGCUCGCUGACGACCGGAAGAGCUGUGUUGUUUUGAGAAUGGCAUCGUGUUGCUGCUAAAAAGAUACACUCUAGUUCAAGCUGGCUCCCUGUCCAAUUACUCAUAAAGGAUCAGUCAUUUCUCUGCAACCAAGGAAUCUUGUGGCCGGCCUCUUCGAAUGUGCUGGUUGGGACAACAGAAUGGAACAAAAGAACUAAGGAAUUGAACAGCA